UGGGGAAUAUUGGACAAUGGGCGGAAGCCUGAUCCAGCCAUGCCGCGUGUGUGAAGAAGGCCUUUUGGUUGUAAAGCACUUUAAGCGAGGAGGAGGCUACUAGUAUUAAUACUACUGGAUAGUGGACGUUACUCGCAGAAUAAGCACCGGCUAACUCUGUGUCAG
rnacentral:rRNA from 1 species